GCCUCCUUCGUCUAGUGGUUAGGACACAAGAUUUUCAUUCUUGUAACACGGGUUCGAGCCCCGUAGGAGGUA
rnacentral:tRNA from 1 species